UACGUAGGGUGCAAGCGUUGUCCGGAAUUAUUGGGCGUAAAGAGCUCGUAGGCGGUUUGUUGCGUCGGCUGUGAAAUCCCGAGGCUCAACCUCGGGUCUGCAGUCGAUACGAGCAAACUAGAGUGUUGCAGGGGAGACUGGAAUUCCUGGUGUAGCGGUGAAAUGCGCAGAUAUCAGGAGGAACACCGAUGGCGAAGGCAGGUCUCUGGGCAUUACCUGACGCUGAGGAGCGAAAGCGUGGGUAGCGAACAGG
rnacentral:rRNA from 1 species